UACCAGCACCCCGAGUGGUCGGGACGUUUUGAUUGGCCUAAAGCAUCCGUAGCCGGUUCUACAAGUCUUCCGUUAAAUCCAACCUGCUUAACAGAUGGGCUGCGGAAGAUACUAUAGAGCUAGGAGGCGGGAGAGGCAAGCGGUACUCGAUGGGUAGGGGUAAAAUCCGUUGAUCCAUUGAAGACCACCAGUGGCGAAGGCGGUUCUCUGGGCAUUACCUGACGCUGAGGAGCGAAAGCAUGGGGAGCGAACAGG
rnacentral:rRNA from 1 species